rnacentral:rRNA from 1 species
GAUGAACGCUAGCGAUAGGCCUAACACAUGCAAGUCGAGGGGCAUCACAUGAAGUAGCAAUACGGAUGGUGGCGACCGGCGCACGGGUGAGUAACACGUAUGCAACCUGCCUUCAACAAGGGGAUAACCCGUUGAAAGACGGACUAAUACCCUAUAACACAGGGGUCCCGCAUGGGAAUAUUUGUUAAAGGACAACCGGUUGAAGAUGGGCAUGCGUUCCAUUAGCUAGUUGGCGGGGUAACGCCCACCAAGGCAACGAUGGAUAGGGGAACUGAGAGGUUUAUCCCCCACACUGGUACUGAGACACGGACCAGACUCCUACGGGAGGCAGCAGUGAGGAAUAUUGGUCAAUGGACGCAAGUCUGAACCAGCCACGUCGCGUGAAGGAAGACGGCCCUACGGGUUGUAAACUUCUUUUAUACGGGAAUAAAGUGCCCCACGCGUGGGGUUUUGCAUGUACCGUAUGAAUAAGGAUCGGCUAACUACGUG